UUCUGUGAAGGAAGGGGUGGGGAAUCCCUGCUGAUCUGUUAAAUAGAACCUGCUGAGCUUGAACAACAUUACUACUUUUCCAACACCUAAAGAAGAAUCAACUCAAGCUGUGAAGCUCCGUCUUUGUUUUAGAGAAAAAUGGCUCGUCAGGAAAUGCCUACUUCUAAGCCUGCCACCACCACUGUUGACCUCUGCGCGCUCAUGCUGCGACAAGCCGGAGACGAACUCUACUGGCAACACAAACUGCUGGAACUACUGAUCAAGAACUAUAAAAGCAUGCAUCAGUGUGGAUGAAAAAUCACCGUCAAGAAGAAAAUUCAGAAAAAUGGAAAGCCUUGGAAAAAAAAUGGCAAAAAGGAAAAGCAAAAACAGGUUGGGCUGUGACUCAUUCCUGGGGAAAAAGCAGCGUUUGCUUCCGGCUGGAUGUACAAGGAACGUUGUAAACACACUGAGGGAGAGGCUGCUGUGAUGGAUUCAAAUCAAGACAGGAUCUCUGCGGGAAAGCAAAGGUGAAGAUCUGUUUGUUUGGCGUGACGGAAACACCGCACUGGAAACUCAUCUGGAGAGACUGUUAAAAAAAAAAACAACAUAUACAUAUUUAUAUUUAGUCUCUUUGAAUAUUUAUGCUUGCUAUGUCUAAUCAUGUUACUUCAUUUAUUUAAAGGACAAAAAUGUAACUAUUAAAAUGAACUGUGUGUUUUUAAACAUACCUCUGUGGAUUUAAUAUAAUAAAAAAACAAUCCACUUAUUUAUUUAA